rnacentral:ncRNA from 1 species
GCAGAGAUAAAAACACGGCUCAGUUGGUAGUCUGGGCGCGGUUUGACCGUCAGUAACCUGCCUCCUUUGGUUGUCCCUUCUCUGUG